GACAGAGGUGCCAAGCGUUAGGCGGAAUCACUGGGCUUAAAGCGUGUGUAGGCGGAAUUGUAAGUACCUUGUGAAAUCCCACGGCUCAACCGUGGAACUGCUCGGUAUACUGCUUUUCUUGAGCCACUUAGGGGCUGUCGGAACAAACGGUGGAGCGGUGAAAUGCGUAGAUAUCGUAAGGAAGACCAGUGGCGAAGGCGAGUCUCUGGACAGUUACUGACACUGAGGCACGAAGGCCAGGGGAGCAAAUGGG
rnacentral:rRNA from 1 species